rnacentral:sRNA from 1 species
UCAGCAUUUGAACAGAGCAGAUGCGCAGUAAAUUAAAAGUGUCGAAAAAAAUGGUUAUAGUGAAAAUAAUCAUAAUUAUUAGAAUGGAAGCUCCUAAUACAAACACCUUUGAGUUACUAUCCUUAUUAGUUCAACAAAAUAAGACACUGCUGGAACAAAAUACUACUUUAUUAGAAACAAAUAAAAAACAAAUGGAUGAACAAUUGCAAGCUAUGAAGGAACAAUAUACAAAACAGAACGACGAUACCUCGAAAAUGUUUUCAUAUUUUACAACCCAAAUUAUAGAAUUGAAAAGAAGCAUUGAUAUAAUUCUGGAGGAGGUUGAAAUCAAAAACAACAUUAAUUCACUGGAAAAGCUACGCACCACUAAAGAAGCUUAACAUUUUUGAAAAUAAAUUAAAGAACGAUUUUGGCUUUCCGAACCUUAUGUAACACCGUUUCAAAAUGCAUUCCCAUGAUAAUAUACGAUUACUUUACGGGAUAAUUACUUUAUUAGGCUCCUUAAAGAUGCGGCAUUGGAAACCCAUAUCAAACA